rnacentral:rRNA from 1 species
AGCAGCCGCGGUAAUUCCAGCUCCAAUAGCGUAUAUUAAAGUUGUUGCAGUUAAAAGCUCGUAGUUGAAUUUCGGGAUCAAUUAAUCGGUCGUGCCUCUGGUACGCACUGGUUUUAUUGGUUUCUCCCUUCUGACGAACCAGGAUGUCAUUAAUUUGGUGUCUUGGAGAAUCAGGACUGUUACUUUGAAAAAUUAGAGUGUUUAAAGCAGGCUUCUAGGCAUGAAUACAUUAGCAUGGAAUAAUGAAAUAGGACGUUUGAUCCUAUUUUGUUGGUUUCUAGGAUCGACGUAAUGAUUAAUAGGGAUAGUUGGGGGCAUUAGUAUUCAAUUGUCAGAGGUGAAAUUCUUGGAUUUAUUGAAGACUAACUAUUGCGAAAGCAUUUGCCAAGGAUGUUUUCAUUAAUCAAGAACGAAAGUUAGGGGAUCGAAGACGAUCAGAUACCGUCGUAGUCUUAACCAUAAACUAUGCCGACUAGGGAUCGGAUGAUGUUAAUUUUUUAAUGACUCAUUCGGCGCCUUA